rnacentral:rRNA from 1 species
GACGUAGGGCGCGAGCGUUGUCCGGAUUUAUUGGGCGUAAAGAGCUCGUAGGCGGCUUGUCGCGUCGACUGUGAAAUCCCGCGGCUCAACUGCGGGUCUGCAGUCGAUACGGGCAGGCUAGAGUUCGGUAGGGGAGACUGGAACUCCUGGUGUAGCGGUGAAAUGCGCAGAUAUCAGGAGGAACACCGAUGGCGAAGGCAGGUCUCUGGGCCGAUACUGACGCUGAGGAGCGAAAGCGUGGGGAGCGAACAGG